rnacentral:rRNA from 1 species
ACUGGCGGCAGGCCUAACACAUGCAAGUCGAGCGAGAAAGGGGCUUCGGCCCCGAGUAGAGCGGCGCACGGGUGAGUAACACGUGAAUAAUCUGCCUUCAGGCCGGGGAUAACAGACCGAAAGGACUGCUAAUACCCGAUAAGCUUCCGCACCAACCGGGUGGAGUGGAGAAAAGUGUGGGAUCGCAAGACCACAUACCAGAAGAUGAGUUCGCGUUCCAUUAGAUAGUUGGCGGGGUAAUGGCCCACCAAGUCGACGAUGGAUAGCUGGUCUGAGAGGAUGAUCAGCCACACUGGGACUGAGACACGGCCCAGACUCCUACGGGAGGCAGCAGUGGGGAAUCUUGCGCAAUGGACGAAAGUCUGACGCAGCCAUGCCGCGUGAGUGAUGAAAGGCCUUCGGGUUGUAAAGCUCUGUCUAAGGGAAAAAACGUCAUCAUAGCGAACAGAGAUGGUGAGUGAUGGUACCCUUAAAGAAAGCACCGGCUAACUCCGUGCCAGCCGCUGC